rnacentral:rRNA from 1 species
UACGUAGGGGGCUAGCGUUGUCCGGAAUCAUUGGGCGUAAAGCGCGUGUAGGCGGCCCGGUAAGUCCGCUGUGAAAGUCGGGGGCUCAACCCUCGGAAGCCGGUGGAUACUGCAGGGCUAGAGUCCGGAAGAGGCAAGUGGAAUUCCUGGUGUAGCGGUGGAAUGCGCAGAUAUCAGGAGGAACACCAACGGCGAAGGCAGCUUGCUGGGACGGUACUGACGCUAAGGCGCGAAAGCGUGGGGAGCGAACAGG